UAGGGAAUCUUCCACAAUGGACGCAAGUCUGAUGGAGCAACGCCGCGUGAGUGAAGAAGGGUUUCGGCUCGUAAAGCUCUGUUGUUAAAGAAGAACGUGGGUAAGAGUAACUGUUUACCCAGUGACGGUAUUUAACCUGAAAGCCACGGCUAACUACGUGCCAG
rnacentral:rRNA from 1 species